rnacentral:rRNA from 1 species
CGCGUAGGCUGUCCUGUAAGCGGUGUGUGAAAGCCCGGGGCUCAACCCCGGAACUGCAUACCGAACUGCAGGGCUAGAGGACGAGAGGGGAGUAUGGAACUCUAGGUGGAGCGGUGAAAUGCGUAGAUAUCUAGAGGAACGCCGGUGGCGAAAGCGAUACUCUGGCUCGUCCCUGACGCUGAGGCGCGAAAGCGUGGGUAGCAAACA